GAGCAUUCUGUAGCUGUAUUUUACAGAACUGUAAUUGCACAGAUUGUUCCUCUUACAAGAGAAAUAUCCAGAGCUCUAAGAAAACAACUGAUGAAAACGACAUGCGUGACAUUUGGUGCUGAAGACCCGGGUCAGAGAGACUCCUUUGGGGGACCAGUCCCCUGUCCUUGCCCUCACUCCGUGAGGAGACCCACCUACGACCUCAGGUCCUCAGACCAACCAGCUCAAGGAACAUCUCACCAAUUUCAAAUCGGGACCCCACUGGAAAUUGGACUGUCCAACUCACCCAACAGCCACUCCCAGAGCCCCUGGAACUCUGGCCCAAGGCUCUCUGACUGACUCCUUCCCAGAUCUUCUCGGCUCAGCAGCUGAAGACUGACACUGCUUGAUUGCCUGGGAAGCCUAUGGGACCAUCACAGACACUUUGGAUAACUCUUACGGUGAAGGACAAAAGAGCGCCACCGCAGGGAGGAAUGCCAGGGUCCCAUAGAGGGAGACCGACAGUGAAGUGGAGCCUGCCAUGAAUUCACCAAAGGCCAUUCUCCCUUUCUUCCAGAAGAACAGCAUUUAGCUGGGCCUAUGGCUACCUACCUAAAGACUGCACCUCUUAGUCACCCUUGUGGCUAGGUGUGGCCACGUGACAAUGGAAUGUAAGUGGAAGUGAUGUAUGCACUUGGGUUCACUGGUUUUAAAAAAAAUAUGACCGCCCUACAUUUCCACUCUUUGUCUUAUCUGUGAAUGGGAACAUGGCUGUGUCUGCAGCCCGACUUUGUGCAGCAAAGUACAAGGCCCUAGGGGAAGGUGGAGAAACAAGAUGGAACAACUUGGACCCAACAACUUGGAUCCCUAUGUGGCCAUGUGGAGUCAUCUCACCCACCUGGGCCACUCACCCCGAAGACUGUUGUGUGAGGGUGAAAUAAACUUCUGUAUCACUAGCCCCUGCAUUUCAGAAAUUCUUUGUUAUGGCAGUUUUGCCUUUAUCCUAACACAGACAGCAAAGUAUCUUCUGUGGCCCCAUGACUAAUAUCGUUGUUUAAACUCAUUAUAAAAACUAUAUAAAUAAAAUAUUAAAAAUCAAAUAAAAUAGCAAGAUAACACUGUGUAACUAUCCAGUUUUAGAUGUUAUUACCUUUUUGGCCUAUUUACCUCAUCUAUUUUCUCCAAGGGUUUUUAAAGAAGAGUCAUGCUUGUUAUUUUAAAUUAUCUGCAGUGCUCCUUGGUCUUAUAAAACUAUGGGUUAUUUCAAACUUCGGUAAAUGUCUGAUACACAUGAACUUCUUGCAUUGUUAAGGAAAUCAGAGAAAAAUGAUGCUGUUUUUCCCUUGUAAGUUGACAAUGGAUGGAGAUGAAACCACCUUUGCAAAAUUAUGGCAAUAAGAGAAAUUGGACAUGGCAGACUCCAUCUUGCUUUUAGCCUCACAGGUUGGCUGUCUUGGCUCAUUCCUGGGCAUGAGCCAAGCUAACUUUGGCAGAAAUUGAGUUUAUAGUGUAAACGAUAAUAGCCUUUCCCCAAAACUAAACUACCCUUGUAAAAUUAAUGAAAGGCCACCAAGUUAGGAGGAUGAGAAGGGCCUGAAUUCAGCCAUUAUUCUGGAAGUCACAAGAUGUGCAACCUCCCCAGUUACUCCUGUAAAUAACUUCAGUAUUGUAGAACCUAAGAUUGGCCUUUUGACAGCCUUUUGCAUUUCUGACAACUAGAUGGCCCCACGCAGACCCGUGACUCAACCAGUCCUAUAGCCUUCAUCCAAAAAUGGACUCAGUGCAUGAGGACUGUUUUCCACACCCUUAUGAUUGCAUCCCAAACCAAUCAGCAGCACCCAUACCCUAUCCCCUGCACAGCAAACUAUCUUUAAGAAACUCCUAACCUCUGAUUCUUUGGUGAGAUUGAUUUAAGUAAUAACUCUGUCUCCCACAUGGCGUGGCUGGCCUCGUGUC